rnacentral:rRNA from 1 species
UACGGGGGGGGCAAGCGUUGUUCGGAAUUACUGGGCGUAAAGGGCUCGUAGGCGGCCAACUAAGUCAGACGUGAAAUCCCCAGGCUCAACCUGGGAACUGCGUCUGAUACUGGAUGGCUUGAAUCCGGGAGAGGGAUGCGGAAUUCCAGGUGUAGCGGUGAAAUGCGUAGAUAUCGGAAGGAACAUCAGUGGCGAAAGCGGCUUCCUGGUCCAGCACCGACGUUCAGGCACGAAAGCGUGGGGAGCAAACAGG